GUUGCACGAUUAAAUAUUUUUUCCAUUAGAUAGUGUUCUAUUUAAGGGGUUUCCUUACUGUAAUGAACGCUGCUUAUUAUCAUGGAUGCAGGUUUUCCGAAAUGAUCUGAACAAGGGAUGUGUCCUUUUUGAUCUGGUUUAGUUGGCCUUCGUUACUUUCAACUUUUAUUUGUUGCAUUUAUGUCCACCAGUUGGUUAUGUUUGUUUGUUUUUAUUUUUUGUGUGCAAGGGAAAGCUUCUGGAUAUGAUAUUUGAAAGAGAGAUGUGUGUGUUUUGCUACCAUGCUAUGAUAUUUGGUUUGAGAUAUACGCUAACGGUAUCUGCAUCAAUGCUGUGUCUUUUGGAUACUCUAGUUGGAUUUAGACGGGUAUCAGGGAAGAGUUCCAUCAACUUCUCAUAUUUUGAGGUUGCCUGUUAAAUUGUUGAUUAUUUUUCCUGUCCUCCUUUUGUCAGCAUUUUAUAUAUAUUGAAGUUAAGUUCUCUUUGUUUUCUGAAUGUUCUAUUCCUAGGGUUUUUGUGGGCAGUUUCCGAAGCAUCAUCGUUAGGCAUGAUUCUAUUAAAUAGAGAUGGUAACUCACCUUUGUUGGAUUGUUUUUGGUAUCAGACCUAGGAUUUUACAUUUUUGAUAAGGCUAGUUUCUGUGGCAGAUUCUAUAUGUGUCAUCGACGCUGUUGGUGGGGCUCUGGUGUUUUUGUGAUUAUUAUCUGUAUGGAGCCACACGUAGCUGUGAUGCAGUUUGUAAAGGAUGCUCCAAUUAAGGAUGCUCUGGUUUUUGUUGAAUGAUUUAAAUAGGUUUUCCAUUAGAUAGUGUUAUAUUUAAGGGGUUUCAUUGUUGUGACAUACGUUGCUUAUUAUGAUGGAUCCAGG
rnacentral:lncRNA from 1 species